rnacentral:lncRNA from 10 species
CUCCCAGACUGGUUCUUUAACAUAGAGAAGCAUGCAAAGGAUAGGAAAUAUAGCCAGGUCCUAGACAAUGGUCUGGACAACAAGUUCCACGAGGACCUGGAGCAACUAAAGGAGAUUCAGGCCCACAGAGGGCUGUGCCACUUCUGGGGCCUUUGUGUCCAGAGCCAGCACGCCAAGACCACUGGCAGCUGGGGCAAUACUGUG